GGCUGUGAGGGUGAUCUGGCUGUGACAUCUGUCACCCCAUUGAAGCCAGGGCUGAUCUGGCUGGCUAGGUGAGUGUCUGCCUCCUCCCUUAUCGAUCCAUGCGCAUCCCUCCCCAAGCUUCGAGUUUGGUCAAAGAAGAGGAAUUUCCCCCCAGAGGAGACGACCGGUCUUUGGUCAAGGGUCAAGGGUAUACGAGUAGCUACACUCCCCUGCUAGAACCUCCAAACAUGCUCUCAAGAAUGCAAAAGAUCAACAACAAGCAAGACAAACUUAAAGCACAAAAUGAGAAACCUUUCUCUGCCAAAUGCCUUUCUCA
ensembl:misc_RNA 7SK 7SK RNA